GUUGAACGCUGGCGGCCGGCCCAACACAUGCAAGUCGAGCGAGCGGCGGGCGGGUGAGUAAUGUAUGGGGACGGCCCGGUAGAGGGGGGUAACUACUGGAAACGGUGGCUAAUACCGCAGACUAUCGGAUUACCCCUAUGGGUGUAGCUAGUAGGUGGUGUAAAGGCGCACCUAGGCGACGAUCUCUAGCUGGUCUCAGAGGCUGAUCAGCCACACUGGUCCUGGGACACGGCCCAGACUCCUACGGAGGCCGCAGUGGGGAAUAUUGCACAAGGGGCGCAAGCCUGGUGCAGCCAUGCCGCGUGUAUGAAGAAGGCCUUAGGGUUGUAAAGUACUUUCAGCGGGGAGGCGUUCCCCGCCGAAGAAGCACCGGCUACCUCCGUGCCAGCCGCCGCGGUAAUUC
rnacentral:rRNA from 1 species